CAGCUGCUAUCUGCACUCCAUA
rnacentral:miRNA from 12 species